rnacentral:misc_RNA from 1 species
AUUGAUAUUUUAUUAUUAUUUGUGAACGUACUACGAACAUAACAAAAUAAUAGUUAUAGUCAAUAAAAUAAUUAAAUCA